UCCUGGAAGGCGGAAGCAGCUGGAGGAAGUGAAUCAUUUCUUGACUGUCUAAUCAGGGCUACAGUUAGGAGUGAGGUGGGUUUUAUUUUCAUUUCUCUUUUUAACACGUUCCCACCCUAUCCUAAUUCUCAAAAAAGCUCUUGCCUAAGCUAUAAAAUAGGCUGACUUUUAGAAUCAUUAAAACUUGGAGAUUUCUGUGUGUUCAAGUCAGGAACACAUCUAAAGACUAAAAAAAUAAAAUAGGGAAGGGGAAAGGCUGCUCCCUGCUGCCAUUUCCACAAAGUAUUUGGAAGCAGGUCUGGGAAGAAUGCUGUGACACCCACAACCUCGAGAUAAUCACAUAAAGGACUCUCAGACAGGGUGACUAUCAGAUACCUUUCUUUCCUGAUCGUGAAGCUGUUUCCUUACUUCACAGUAGCUUGUUGCAUGGUGUGUUCCUGACAGGGUCCAGCCCAGACCUGCAGUUUGGAAGCAGACGGGCCAGCCAUGUGGAGCGCAGGCUCUGGACUCCCGGGGAUUUCUGGUGUGUCUAGAUCCUUCGAGUUGGAGCUGCAGCAGACAUGAAGUGAUCAUUUGGAACAACUUCCUUUAGCCUCAGGCCACCUAGACUUGGGCUUCCCUGGUGGCUCAGCUGGUAAAGAAUCCACCUGAAAUGCAGGAGACCCUUGUCCAAUUCCUGGGUCGGGAAGAUCCCCUGGAGAAGGGAUAGGCUACCCACUCCAGUAUUCUUGGGCUUCCCUGGUGGCUCAGCUGGUUAACAAUCCGCCUGCAAUCCGGGGGACCUGGGUUCAAUCCCUGGGUUGGGAAGAUCCCCUGGAGAAGGGAUAGGCUACCCACUCCAGUAUUCUUGGGCUUCCCUGGUGGCUCAGCUGGUUAACAAUCCGCCUGCAAUGCGGGGACCUGGGUUCAAUCCCUGGGUUGGGAAGAUCCCCUGGAGAAGGGAACGGCUACCCACUCCAGUAUUCUGGCCUGAAGAAUUCCAUGGACUAUACAGUCCAUGGAGUCACAAAGAGUUGGACACAACUGAGUGACUUUCGCUUUCUUUCACCUAGACUUGGUCUCUGGUUAUUUGUAAACAGAGAGUGGAACUCACUUCCAUUUCCAGAUAGGCUCGGAAAUAGACUUAGACAGCUUUGCCAUGUACUGACAUAUACGAAAGAGCUGGAAAUUUGUAUAUACUGAAAUCUACCAACGUUUAUCUGGGGAGGGGGACUGGGAGAAAUGGGGUCACAGUAGGGUGAGGGAGGGGAAUUAUAAUGUUUACCACAGGUACGAAGUAGUCACUUUAACAUUGAGACCUCUGCCUCAUUGAAUUCAGGUUUUUUAAGUACUUGAAACUCCUCAGAUUCUCCUUGUUUUACAAUUAUUUUUAAAUUUAUGAAGUAGAAAGCAUUGUUUUGUACACUGUUUUGUCUCUUACCCUCUUGAAGUUGGAUUAGAGGCGAAGUUCUGCACAUGGGAGCGUCCACACUAGGUCUCUCAGAUUCAGUGCACGUAGUCGGGGAAGAGACUCCUGCAUGAAAUACCAGCAGCAUUUACAUGAGUAUUUCUUACGUAUGUUCUUUACUUUGUUACUUUGUCAACCCUAUCCCCACACACCUCUUCUUUCCUUUUAAUAGAUGCCUGUGUAGGGAAAAAAAGAACUUUGCACUUAUGUUACACUCCUGAAAUGCCAGGUGUGACCUGUGUGUUUCAAACUCAUUUCCGUUCUUUCUCCAGUCAGUCCAUGGCUUAAGUGACAAGUUCAGGUGCGUGUGGCACAUUUGUACGAAGGGGUAGGAGGUAGAGAAAUACCUGUCCUUCAGGAGUAUCUCAAAGUCAUUAACGUGUAAGAGAAAGGGAAAAGAGUAGUUGCCAAAGUCCUUUAUUCAGUCCUUCGUCUUCUCGUGUGACAUCACUGCAUCUGCUAAUUGGCAAGAAAGCACCCUCGGGUUCCCCUUCCCCAGCCACCAGACCCCUGAUGUGUGCACACCGCUGUCGUAUCCAUCAGAUGACGUAGAUGAGGGGUGUAUAUGGUGUAACUCUUGUCAGUUUAGAAGUGGACUGGAUAAAAUGUCCUUUUCCUUCAUUGUCACUAACAUUGCUCUUUAUCUCAUUCGUGCUGUCACAUGCCCUCCAUGUUAAACAAGAAAAUCCUAUCGCCACUGAUAACUAAGAUGCUAAAUGAUGAUUGCAACUGGCUAAUAAUAAGGUUCUUUUUAUAUAUAAGGGUGUGUGCAUAAUUGGAAUUGACAUGAGAAAUCCAUUUGUAUCCACUUGUGAUAUUGCACAACAACCACAGAUACCUACAGAUUCUGUUUUCAUUUCCUCGUGAUCUUUAUCUAUGAUAAUGACCUUUGUAGAUUGGUUAUUUCUGUACUUUGUUUAUCUGUAAUAAACUUUGUAGAUCCUGUGAAAUGUUAUUUUGCCUAAAUCACUUGAGACUUGAGUCUUUAAUAACAAAGCAUCAAUAUUCACUAAAAGUCAAUCUCUUUUAUUAGAGUUUCUGUGACUUGGCUAGAAGCUCCUGAUACUAAGGAUUAGUGUUCAUUUUCCCUGGGGGGCGUUCCACUAGGGCAUUACUGAAUAAUGACUUGAUGUUGCCACAUAGACUUCAAGAUAUAUGAUAUUUGGGGGAUUUUGUUGAUUGGCCCAUGUUUUAUUGCAUAGUGUGAAAUGUUUAAAGCUUGGUUAACCUGUAUAUAGAUAGGUUAUUGUUGACUAGUUACAGUGUAUUAGGAUUGCCUGUAAUAUUUAAGCUUCUUACUACUGUGUGUGCUGGUAGGAACAUAUAAUUUUUGUACAUUCUAUUUACUGAGAUGUUACCUAUUUUAUUUUACAAAUACUUUGGGAUUCAAAUUUUUUUUUUUUUUUUUUGCUUCCGUGAGGAUUAAUUUGGAAGAUUUUUAAUGACAUUCCACUGAUUUCCGAUUUUGCUUGAGAUUGACUUCAAUAAAUUGUCCUGUAUGUUCCAAAAUUAAAUAUAUGGACUUGUUCAUUGCCUGUAACUUCUUGCUACAACUCAG
ensembl:lncRNA